UACAGAGGGGGCAAGCGUUGUUCGGAAUUACUGGGCGUAAAGGGCGCGUAGGCGGCCUGCUAAGUCGAACGUGAAAUCCCUGGGCUCAACCCAGGAACUGCGUCCGAUACUGGUUGGCUUGAAUCCGGGAGAGGGACGUGGAAUUCCAGGUGUAGCGGUGAAAUGCGUAGAUAUCAGGAGGAACACCGAUGGCGAAGGCAGGUCACUGGGCCGCAACUGACGCUGAGGAGCGAAAGCAUGGGGAGCGAACAGG
rnacentral:rRNA from 1 species